rnacentral:rRNA from 1 species
AGUGAACGCUGGCGGCAGGCCUAACACAUGCAAGUCGAACGGCCGCACAGUAAGCGCUUGCUCUUACGGGUGGCGAGUGGCGGACGGGUGAGGCAUACAUCAGAUUCUACUUUUUCGUGGGGGAUAUCGUAGGGCAGCUUCCGCUACUACCGCAUACGUCCUACGGGUGAAAUCAGGAGUUCUUCGGACCUUGCGUGUUUGUUUUAGACGGUGUCGGGUUAGCUAGUUGGCGUGGUAAAGGCACACCAAGGCAACGAUGCGUAGCCGAUCUGAGAGGGUGAUCGGCCAACAUGGAAAUGAGACACGGGCCAGACUCCUACGGGAGGAAGCAGUAGGGAAUCUUGGGCAAUGGGCGAAAGCUUGACGCAGCAAAGCCGCGUGAGUGAAGAAGGUCUUCGGGUCGUAAAACCCUUUUAUUAGGGAAGAAAAAAUGUGUGUGUAACUCCGCGCGUCUUGACGGUACCCAAUAAGAAAGCCACGGCUAACUACGUG